UCGCUCCUACCGAUUUCGAGUGAUCCGGUGAACCUUCUGGACUGCGUUGGUCUCAACCAAUGCGGGAAGUUAUGUAAACCACUUCACUUAGAGGAAGGAG
rnacentral:rRNA from 1 species